AGAACGAACGCUGGCGGCAUGCCUAACACAUGCAAGUCGAACGAACCCUUCGGGGUUAGUGGCGCACGGGUGCGUAACGCGUGGGAACCUACCAUCAGGUUCGGAAUAACAGUUAGAAAUGACUGCUAAUACCGGAUAAUGUCUUCGGACCAAAGAUUUAUCGCCUUUUGAUGGGCCCGCGUUGGAUUAGCUAGUUGGUAAGGUAAAGCUUACCAAGGCGACGAUCCAUAGCUGGUCUGAGAGGAUGAUCAGCCACACGUGGGACUGAGACACGGCCCAGACU
rnacentral:rRNA from 1 species